CCUACGGGCGGCAGCAGUGAGGAAUAUUGGUCAAUGGCCGGAAGGCUGAACCAGCCAAGCCGCGUGAGGGAGGAAGGCGCAGAGCGUCGCAGACCUCUUUUGCCGGGGGACAAAAGGCCGGACUCGUCCGGUCCUGAGGGUACCCGGAGAAAAAGCAUCGGCUAACUCCGUGCCAGCAGCCGCGGUAAUACGGAAGGCCCGAGCGUUAUCCGGAUUCAUUGGGCUUAAAGGGAGCGUAGGCGGGCGUUCAAGUCAGCUGUAAAAUCGCGCGGCUCAACCGCGCCCCGCAGUUGAAACUGGACGCCUUGAGUUCACAACAGGCAGGCGGAAUUCGUGGUGUAGCGGUGAAAUGCAUAGAUAUCACGAGGAACCCCGAUUGCGAAGGCAGCCUGCCGGGGUGCGACUGACGCUGAGGCUCGAAGGUGCGGGUAUCAAACAGGAUUAGAUACCCCUGUAGUC
rnacentral:rRNA from 1 species